rnacentral:rRNA from 1 species
GACGAACGCUGGCGGCGUGCUUAACACAUGCAAGUCGAACGGAGCACCCUUGAAGGAGUUUUCGGACAACGGAGAGGAAUGCUUAGUGGCGGACUGGUGAGUAACGCGUGAGGAACCUGCCUUUCGGAGGGGGACAACAGUUGGAAACGACUGCUAAUACCGCAUGACACAUUUGGACCGCAUGGUCUGAAUGUCAAAGAUUUAUCGCCGAAAGAUGGCCUCGCGUCUGAUUAGCUUGUUGGUGAGGUAACGGCUCACCAAGGCGACGAUCAGUAGCCGGACUGAGAGGUUGGCCGGCCACAUUGGGACUGAGAUACGGCCCAG